rnacentral:rRNA from 1 species
AAAUUGAAGAGUUUGAUCAUGGCUCAGAUUGAACGCUGGCGGCAGGCCUAACACAUGCAAGUCGAACGGUAACAGGAAGCAGCUUGCUGCUUUGCUGACGAGUGGCGGACGGGUGAGUAAUGUCUGGGAAACUGCCCGAUGGAGGGGGAUAACUACUGGAAACGGUAGCUAAUACCGCAUAACGUCGCAAGACCAAAGAGGGGGACCUUCGGGCCUCUUGCCAUCGGAUGUGCCCAGAUGGGAUUAGCUAGUAGGUGGGGUAAC